GAAAUGCGAUAAGUAAUGUGAAUUGCAGAAUUCAGUGAAUCAUCGAAUCUUUGGACGCACCUUGCGCUCCUUGGUAUUCCUUGGAGCAUGCCUGUUUGAGUAUCAUGAAAUCUUCAAAGUAAAUGUUUUGUUAACUCAAUUGGUUUCUACUUUGGUAUUGGAGGUCUUUGCAGCUUCACACCUGCUCCUCUUUGUUCAUUAGCUGGAUCUCAGUGUUAUGCUUGGUUCCACUCGGCGUGAUAAGUUAUCUAUCGCUGAGGACACUGUAAAAGGUGGCCAAGGUAAAUGCAGAUGAACCGCUUCUAAUAGUCCAUUGACUUGGACAAUACUUUUAUGAUCUGAUCUCAAAUCAGGUAGGACUACCCGCUGAACUUAAGC
rnacentral:misc_RNA from 1 species